AUGAACGCUAGCUACAGGCUUAACACAUGCAAGUCGAGGGGCAGCAUGGUCUUAGCUUGCUAAGGCCGAUGGCGACCGGCGCACGGGUGAGUAACACGUAUCCAACCUGCCGUCUACUCUUGGACAGCCUUCUGAAAGGAAGAUUAAUACAAGAUGGCAUCAUGAGUCCGCAUGUUCACAUGAUUAAAGGUAUUCCGGUAGACGAUGGGGAUGCGUUCCAUUAGAUAGUAGGCGGGGUAACGGCCCACCUAGUCUUCGAUGGAUAGGGGUUCUGAGAGGAAGGUCCCCCACAUUGGAACUGAGACACGGUCCAAACUCCUACGGGAGGCAGCAGUGAGGAAUAUUGGUCAAUGGGCGAGAGCCUGAACCAGCCAAGUAGCGUGAAGGAUGACUGCCCUAUGGGUUGUAAACUUCUUUUAUAAAGGAAUAAAGUCGGGUAUGGAUACCCGUUUGCAUGUACUUUAUGAAUAAGGAUCGGCUAACUCCGUGCCAGCAGCCGCGGUAAUACGGAGGAUCCGAGCGUUAUCCGGAUUUAUUGGGUUUAAAGGGAGCGUAGAUGGAUGUUUAAGUCAGUUGUGAAAGUUUGCGGCUCAACCGUAAAAUUGCAGUUGAUACUGGAUAUCUUGAGUGCAGUUGAGGCAGGCGGAAUUCGUGGUGUAGCGGUGAAAUGCUUAGAUAUCACGAAGAACUCCGAUUGCGAAGGCAGCCUGCUAAGCUGCAACUGACAUUGAGGCUCGAAAGUGUGGGUAUCAAACAGGAUUAGAUACCCUGGUAGUCCACACAGUAAACGAUGAAUACUCGCUGUUUGCGAUAUACUGCAAGCGGCCAAGCGAAAGCGUUAAGUAUUCCACCUGGGGAGUACGCCGGCAACGGUGAAACUCAAAGGAAUUGACGGGGGCCCGCACAAGCGGAGGAACAUGUGGUUUAAUUCGAUGAUACGCGAGGAACCUUACCCGGGCUUAAAUUGCAGAUGAAUUACGGUGAAAGCCGUAAGCCGCAAGGCAUCUGUGAAGGUGCUGCAUGGUUGUCGUCAGCUCGUGUCGUGAGAUGUUGGGUUAAGUCCCGCAACGAGCGCAACCCUUAUUGUUAGUUGCCAUCAUUUAGUUGGGCACUCUAGCAAGACUGCCGGUGACAAACCGGAGGAAGGUGGGGAUGACGUCAAAUCAGCACGGCCCUUACGUCCGGGGCUACACACGUGUUACAAUGGGGGGUACAGAGGGCCGCUACCACGCGAGUGGAUGCCAAUCCCCAAAACCUCUCUCAGUUCGGACUGGAGUCUGCAACCCGACUCCACGAAGCUGGAUUCGCUAGUAAUCGCGCAUCAGCCACGGCGCGGUGAAUACGUUCCCGGGCCUUGUACACACCGCCCGUCAAGCCAUGGGAGCCGGGGGUACCUGAAGUGCGUAACCGCGAGGAGCGCCCUAGGGUAAAACUGGUGACUGGGGCU
rnacentral:rRNA from 1 species